rnacentral:rRNA from 1 species
GAUGAACGCUGACAGAAUGCUUAACACAUGCAAGUCUACUUGAAGCUAACUUCGGUUAGUGGAGGGUGGCGGACGGGUGAGUAACGCGUAAAGAACUUGCCUCACAGUUUGGGACAACAUUUGGAAACGAAUGCUAAUACUAAAUAUUAUGAUACUUCUGCAUGGAAGAAUCAUGAAAGCUAUAUGCGCUGUGAGAGAGCUUUGCGUCCCAUUAGCUAGUUGGAGAGGUAACGGCUCACCAAGGCGAUGAUGGGUAGCCGGCCUGAGAGGGUGAACGGCCACAAGGGGACUGAGACACGGCCCUUACUCCUACGGGAGGCAGCAGUGGGGAAUAUUGGACAAUGGACCAAAAGUCUGAUCCAGCAAUUCUGUGUGCACGAUGAAGUUUUUCGGAAUGUAAAGUGCUUUCAGUUGGGAAGAAGAAAGUGACGGUACCAACAGAAGAAGCGACGGCUAAAUACGUGCCAGCAGCCGCGGUAAUACGUAUGUCGCAAGCGUUAUCCGGAUUUAUUGGGCGUAAAGCGCGUCUAGGCGGCUAGAUAAGUCUGAUGUGAAAAUGCGGGGCUCAACUCCGUAUUGCGUUGGAAACUGUUUAGCUAGAGUACUGGAGAGGUAAGCGGAACUACAAGUGUAGAGGUGAAAUUCGUAGAUAUUUGUAGGAAUGCCGAUGGGGAAGCCAGCUUACUGGACAGAUACUGACGCUAAAGCGCGAAAGCGUGGGUAGCAAACAGG